GGGCGGUUAGCUCAGUGGUAGAGCGUCUCGUUUACACCGAGAGGGUCGGAGGUUCGAACCCUUCACCGCCCA
rnacentral:tRNA from 1 species